AUACGUAGGGGGCAAGCGUUAUCCGGAAUUAUUGGGCGUAAAGAGUGCGUAGGUGGUUUUGUAAGCGCGGGGUGAAAGGCAAUAGCUCAACUAUUGUAAGCCUUGCGAACUGCGAGACUUGAGUGCAGGAGAGGAAAGCGGAAUUCCUAGUGUAGCGGUGAAAUGCGUAGAUAUUAGGAGGAACACCAGUGGCGAAGGCGGCUUUCUGGACUGUAACUGACACUGAGGCACGAAAGCGUGGGGAGCAAACAGGAUUAGAUACCCUGGUAGUCCACGCCGUAAACGAUGAGCACUAGGUGUCGGGGUCGCAAGGCUUCGGUGCCGUAGUUAACGCAUUAAGUGCUCCGCCUGGGGAGUACGCACGCAAGUGUGAA
rnacentral:rRNA from 1 species